AGUUCGGAUUGCAGGCUGCGACUCGCCUGUAUGAAGUCGGAAUUGCUAGUAAUCGUGGAUCAGCAUGCCACGGUGAAUACGUUCCCGGGCCUUGUACACACCGCCCGUCACACCAUGAGAGCCGGGAACACCCGAAGUCCGUAGUCUAACCUAUAUGGAGGACGCGGCCGAAGGUGGGUUUGGUAAUUGGGGUGAAGUCGUAACAAGGUAUC
rnacentral:rRNA from 1 species